ensembl:lncRNA
GAAAGGCGAGAGGGAAGGUGAAGAUACAGGAGAUGAAGAAAUGGGCAAAUCCCAUUUCUUACAGUCACACACAGAAGGGGAGGCGGACACCUGGGCAGAAUUGAAGAGAUGGGGACGAAGAUAGAAAGGGUUACGUUGGGGGCUCCGAGUGUGUGUCAGGGGCUGGGGCGGAAAGCGGGGCGGCCCUUGGGUUUCCCUAGCGGUCCAGGUUCAUAGUCCAGUGCUUGGCUCCAGUCGCGCAGCUGUCCCUGGCAGCUGAGGAGGAGGAGGGGGCCGCGGGCGCUCCUCCGCUGGGUGGACCCCCGGAGCCGGCGGCGGCCUCGCCCUCGUUCUUGAGGUCUUGGAAGACCUGCGUGAAAAAGUGGGGGUCGGCAUUGAGCCGCAGCAUCUGCGGGCUGAGCCGCUGGAUGAGGCGCAGGCAGCGUUGCCAGAAGCGCUCCUUGUCGGGCUCCACGAGGAAGGGCUUGAGCGGGUAGGAGAUCUCGUUGCCCAUGUAGGAGUAGGCGAGGUAGAGACAGGUGAGGAAGGCGGCCUGCAGCUCGGCGGCCGACGCCAGCUCAUCCCCGCGCAGCGACUCCCGGCACAGCAGGUACACGAACACCAGGUUGGCGGGCGUAAUGAAGGCCUGGUCUUGCCAGCCCUGCAGCAGCAGCGAGCGGUCCACUCCGCGGAACCAGCCCACCAGCUCGCCCGGGCUCAGCUCCUUGAGACGGUAGCAGCGUCGGCACACGAAGUCGCCCAGGCAGCGCAGCAGCUCGCCGGUGGAAGCCUGCACGAUGACCCUCCGCGGCGAGCCGCCAGAUGCGGCUACCAGGCGCUUCCAGGUGAGGGCCGAGAUGAGUACCGACGGCCGCUUGAGUCGGCUCUCGCCUUUGCCGCCCUUGCCCACUGGCGGCGCCCCGUAGCCCCCAAGCGCCUCGUCCCCAGCGGGCGGCGCCUUCUUCUUCUCCUCCGGCAGCCCGCCGGGCCUCCGGCCCUUGGCCGAGGAGGCGGGGGAAAGAGACAGCACCGUGCCCAUCCUGCAGAGCGGGGCCGGCGCCCGGGCCCCGGCGGGAACCGCGGGCGGAGCUGCUGCCGCCGCCGCCGCCGCCGCCGCUGCUGCAGCCCCCGGGGACCCGGCGGUGGGGGCCUAGCCCCGGCCCGGGCGCGGGAACAGGCAGUGGAAGGUGGCUGCUCGGCGGUUCGGCGGCGGCGGCUCAGAGUCUGAGCUGCGCCAGCUGCAGCGUCAGCCCCACCCCUUGGCCCGGUCUUUGCCGAGCCGCGCCCCUCCUCGCGCAGCCAAUCCUCGACCGAGGUGCCCUCCUAACCGGCAUCUCCUCUGACCAAUAGAAUCUCGCAUGCCAAUCAGGCCCCACCCAUCCCCCCCUCCUCUGUCUCAGGUCCUUUCCCUUCACUAGAAAGGGGAAAGGAGGAGGAGGUGGCUGGUUCGAGGUCCCCUUCUGAGUCGAAGUUGGUAGGUGGGGAGCUGCUUCCACCUCCCGCUCCAGGUCCUAGGGCCGAGUCAACUUGUUUUAAUGCACCGGAUGGCAAUAGCAGAGAUGCCAUGGGAACAGACUCUCCUUCCUUUUGAUUGUGUGUAGGGGGCAGUGUGGUCAGUGAGUGCUUUCAUCAGGGAGCCCGGGGCCCAGCUGGGUCUCACUGCACAGGCUCUUCCAAUCUUGCAGUCAGUCCAUUCCCUCUUAGCUCUCCUUCCCUCCCUUCCCCCUGCCGAGGCUAGUGGGGAGGACUGCAGCAGGCAUAUUUCUGCUCUGCCUGAGAUGGGGUGCUGGCUAGGCUGGCCUUCCUGAAGGUCAUAACCUGUCCCCUUGGGGGCCUUUACUCUGGGGGUGGCAAGACCCUCGGAUAUGUCCCCACAGCCACCGUUUGCCAACCUGAUUCUCUGCAGUUGAAUCUGUGAUGAGAGGCCCUGAGCUCAGGUCCCUGGGUGGCUGUUCUUGUACUCUGUCCUCCUCUCCCUCCCCACCCAACACCUCCUGAUUCCACACUUGGGUGAGUAUUAGGUGGUAGGUCCCUGGGGAAAUGCUGGAUACUGAUCUGCCCAAGCUGAGAUGGGUUUUCACUGUUAUAUGCUCCCUGCCAUUCAAGUCCUGGCUGUCUCCGCUCCCAGCUACAUGCUCUUAUGCUGUGUCUUGCCCAUUUCUCUCUGGGUCUGUCUGUUCCUUCCUUGGCACCCAUAAGGCCUUUGCCUUGGAUUUGGUACUCUCUGGGCUUUAUCUGAAGGUCCUGAGCUCAGCAGGCCUGUUCUAUCUGCCUUCUGGGACUGUGUUCGCCCUUCUCCUGGCCUGCUCUCUGUGGAUCCCCAACACAGGAGUCUUCCAGCUUCCUCAGCGGGCCCUUGAGAUGGGGAAAGAAACCUUUGCCAAUGGAUUCAGCAAAAUCCUCAGAAUUGGUCCUGGAGUUGCCUCCAUGCUCCUCACAGACCAUUAACACAACUCCAAGGAUCCACUGCUUGUCGAGGUUGUUAUAUAUGCAGGUGUGUGCCUAGUUCAUUCCAGAUAGGCUAUUACAGAAUCCUCUUGGGCUUCCAUCAGAGGCACCAGCUUUUCUCAGCUGUCCCAUAGGCCUCCCACAUAAGGGGGCCUGUGGUCUGGCUAUAGUGAUACCCCAUACCCACCAUACAGUACUAUACACAGGCCAACUUGUACCCUCUCCCUGACUCAGUGCCCAUUUGUACUUUCUCCGGGGGGGUGUGUCUCUUCUGCUCCCCUACAUCUGAUCUUUAUUCUCAUAGUCCAAGGUGACCUGCCCAGCCCCUCAUUCUCCCCAUAGUUGCAGAAAAAUGUUCCCUCUUUUCAGUUUCUGUAAUUGGUUCCACUUCCUCCUACAAGGCCUUCUGAGUCAGCCUUUAUCUGCCACCCAAGGAACAGUCGGUUCACCAGUAGUUAAGGACAGGGCCCACAGAGACUGAAUUAUGCUGGCAGAAACACCAGGCACGUGGAUCUGAAUGGCACGUGGGUCCUCCCAGCUCUGCUCCCAGCAGUCCCUCAUUGACAUAAGGCCUAUUGCUGGUGUCAUUCAGGACAAGACCCUAUGUAGCAGCCACAGAUGUCACCACCAUGAUUUCCCCACUCCAGGUCCAGCAGUGACAUCCUGUUGUCCUCUUAGGAUGGAGAGUUGCCUCCUCUGCUUCAGGGUCCCAAGCCUUAAAAUGUACCUUAAAUGAUUUUACUUUCCCUUCUCACUCUCCAUUUGUCCUGCCUCAGACCCUUUCUCUUUGGCUCACAUGCUCACCACUCUCUUAGUCAGGUGAUCCCUCUUGAAUCUCUGAGCUCCUAUAACUACUCCAGGACCCUCCCUCAGACCACCAUGCUGUCUUCAUUAAGCUCUUGAAAUUCCAUCUCCUCCAAGAAGUUUUUCUGGACUGAUCGCAAGGGACCUGAUGCCUUUUCUGGUAUCAAUCUUUCUAAUCUCUUUUGCCCAGGAGUAUCUAGGGAAACAACCUGGUUAAGAGCUGGGCUCCGAAUUGCCAGUCCAAGAUGUACAAGAUGAAUAUGGAUGGAAUUUUAACGGACAAGCAGACAACAUAAUAAAAACAAAUCCACAAAGAAUGACA